rnacentral:lncRNA from 1 species
UUCUAGCUGAGAUCUGGGAUAGUUUCUGAAUUCAGACGUAUUCACCAGCCACAUUGCAUGUAUCUCUUCCUACUGGACCAUGUACCUGUCUCUCAUACUCUGCUUCCACAGAGUUUUGAAAAGCACUAGGCAAGGAGACCAGAGUUCCUGGGUUCCAAUCAUGGCACUACUCAGGCCCAAAUGGGCAGCACAGCACUUGCCCUGCUUUCUUCACGGGAGUGGGGGCAGGGUGGUGGUGGUAAAUCAUAUCU